UACAGAGGGGGCAAGCGUUGUUCGGAAUUACUGGGCGUAAAGGGCGCGUAGGCGGCCUGCUAAGUCGAACGUGAAAUCCCCGGGCUCAACCCGGGAACUGCGUCCGAUACUGGCAGGCUUGAAUCCGGGAGAGGGAUGUGGAAUUCCAGGGUGUAGCGGUGAAAUGCGUAGAUAUCUGGAGGAACACCGGUGGCGAAGGCGGGUCACUGGGCCGAUACUGACGCUGAUGCACGAAAGCUAGGGGAGCAAACAGG
rnacentral:rRNA from 1 species